UCGCUCUCGCACACACAUUCUCUUUUACAAUUUCCAAAUCCCCAAAAAUCCGCGACUCUCCGAUGGCGCAAAAUACCCUUAAACCCUCAAUACCCUAAAACCUUUCUUCUUUUCUUUUUGUUUUUCUCUUUUUUUUUUGGUUUUGAGAAUCAGUGAAGUGAAAUGGAUGGAGUGAAUAGCAGUAGUAAUAUCCAAAAAGAUGAUGCAUCGACUAGCACCGGAGGAGCUCAAACGGCAUCACAACCUCAACCAAAGCCGAAGCCAGUCGUGGUGCAGAGUGCGAACGCGCCACCGCCUUUCUUGAGCAAGACUUACGAUAUGGUGGAUGAUCCCGCCACCGAUGCCGUCGUUUCUUGGAGCUCAGCCAAUAACAGUUUCAUUGUUUGGAACCCCCCGGAGUUCGCACGGGAUGUUUUGCCCAAGUAUUUCAAGCACAACAACUUCUCCAGCUUCGUCAGGCAACUGAAUACCUAUGGUUUCCGGAAGGUUGAUUCAGACCGAUGGGAAUUCGCAAAUGAGGGAUUUUUAAGAGGCCAGAAAGACCUGCUUCUAAACAUUAGCCGCCGAAAGCCUGCCCAGGGCCAUGGUCAUCAGCAGGCACAGCAAGCACAUGGACAGAGUUCAGCUGGGGGUGCUUGUGUUGAGGUUGGGGAAUUUGGGCUUGAGGAAGAGGUUGAGAGGCUUAAGAGGGACAAGAAUGUGCUUAUGCAGGAACUUGUUAGGUUGAGGCAGCAGCAACAGUCUACAGAUAACCAAAUGCAAACCAUGGCACAACGACUUCAUGGGAUGGAGCAGUGGCAGCUGCAGAUGAUGUCAUUCUUGGCGAAGGCUGUCCAGAGCCCUGGAUUUUUGGCUCAAUUUAUGCAGCAGAAAAAUGAGAGCAAUAGGCACAUAACCGAAGCCAACAAGAAAAGGAGACUAAAACAGGAUGGUAUUGUUGAUAAUGAGCAUUCUGCUGCCUCUGAUGGACAGAUUGUUAAAUAUCAGCCUUUGACAAAUGAUGCUAAAGCAAUGCUCAGGCAGAUCGUAAAAGGGGAUACUUCUACCAGGCUUGACUCCAUUAACAACUAUCAUGAUAAUUUCCUGGUUGGUGAUGGUUUGUCAUCAUCUACUGGAUUGGAUGGUGGGAAAUCUUCAAGCCAUGCAUCAGGAGUGACUCUUCAAGAGGUCCCACCAACUUCAGGGAUCUCUGUGGAUCGCCCCUCAAGUGCCAUAUCUGAGAUUCAAUCUUCCCCAUGUACAACAUCUUCUGAAAAGAUUACAACAACACAAUCUACCAAUUCGAGUGCACUGGUUGGAGGAGAAAAGGUCCCAUCCAUUUCCAUUCCUCAAACAAAUACAAUUAUGCCUGAACUUUCUCAAAUACCAGAAAUGGUCCCAGAAAGCGUUGUUGAUAUCCCCACCGAAGACUGCAUGGAGUCUGAAACUGGGAAUGGGGGAUUUAUUGAUCCCAUUUGUUUGGUUUCCUUAGAACUUGAUGACAUUACUCCUGAUCCCGACAUAGAUGCCUUACUGGAUAGUUCUAGUUUCUGGGAUGACCUUAUUGUGCAAGGUCCAGUGCCAGAGGAUAUUGAAUCAAUCUCAAUGGAUGAUAAAAGCUAGGGAAGUGGGCAGCUGAUGGACAAAUCUUGGCAUACGGAUAAGUCUUCUUGAUAACAAGAGUGGCUAAUCACAUUUGUACAAAAAUGUACAUGGCCUUCAGUUCAUUUGAGCAAAUUGGACACCCUUAGUCUCCUGCAGGGACGUAGGGGUAUGUGAUUGUCUCCCGUGUUGUUUACCUUGUCCUUGCACUGCGCCCACCAAAGUUGAUGUUGUUGCUAGUGUUGACGAUGAAGGUCUUGCUACAUGUUCCAGUCAGGCAGAAUGUGCAAAUGAAAUCAUGCCAAUUGGACCAUAGCUUUUGUGGUGCUACCGGCAUUUGUACAUGUUCCCAGCCCUAAAAUAAUAAUAUCAUAAAAAUCUUCUUUGUGAGAGAAGUUCGAGGUUUAAGAAUGAGAUAUCUAUCUAUGUCUAUGAGUGUACCGGUGAUUCGAAUGAUGUUUUAAUCUCA